rnacentral:rRNA from 1 species
AAUAUAUCGGAACGUGCCCAGUCGUGGGGGAUAACGUAGAGAAAUUUACGCUAAUACCGCAUACGAUCUAAGGAUGAAAGCGGGGGAUCGCAAGACCUCGCGCGAUUGGGGCGGCUGAUAUCAGAUUAGGUUGUUGGUGAGGUAAAAGCUCACCAAGCCGACGAUCUGUAGCUGGUUUGAGAGAACGACCAGCCACACUGGGACUGAGACACGGCCCAGACUCCUACGGGAGGCAGCAGUGGGGAAUUUUGGACAAUGGGCGAAAGCCUGAUCCAGCAAUGCCGCGUGCAGGAAGAAGGCCUUCGGGUUGUAAACUGCUUUUGUACGGAACGAAACGGCUCUUUCUAAUAAAGAGGGCUAAUGACGGUACCGUAAGAAUAAGCACCGGCUAACUACGUGCCAGCAGCCGCGGUAAUACGUAGGGUGCGAGCGUUAAUCGGAAUUACUGGGCGUAAAGCGUGCGCAGGCGGUUAUGUAAGACAGUUGUGAAAUCCCCGGGCUCAACCUGGGAAUUGCAUCUGUGACUGCAUAGCUAGAGUACGGUAGAGGGGGAUGGAAUUCCGCGUGUAGCAGUGAAAUGCGUAGAUAUGCGGAGG